rnacentral:rRNA from 1 species
UACGAAGGGGGCUAGCGUUGCUCGGCAUCACUGGGCGUAAAGCGCACGUAGGCGGGUUGCCAAGUCGGGGGUGAACUCCUGGAGCUCAACUCCAGAACUGCCUUCGAUACUGGCGAUCUUGGAGUCCGGGAGAGGUGAGUGGAACUGCGAGUGGAGAGGUGAAAUGCGUAGAUAUUCGCAAGAACACCAGUGGCGAAGGCGGCUCACGGGCCCGGUACUGACGCUGAGGUGCGAAAGCGUGGGGAGCAAACAGG